CAGGAGCGGAUGGAGAGACCUGUGUAAUUAGACCCUGCUUCCCAGGGUAUAAUUAGCUCAAGGCAAGCACACCUGUCUCUCCCCUUGGGCAGCGAGCAACUCGAGGGCAGGGAUGGGGCCCUGCAGAUGUGUGUUGCUACCACUCCAUACGGCUCCAGCUCUGAGGGGAGGCACUGCGGUCUGGGGUUUGAGAGCAAGGCCUGGACAUCAGAUUAGGAAGCUGAGGAACAGAGAGGUUAAGUGGCCUGCCAAGGUCACACAGUCAAGAAGUGGAGGAGCCAGGAUUCGAACCCAGGCAGAUCCUCCCACUGCUGCGGCGGAGAGGCACUAUUACCGCACAGUUACCGUGCCCAUUUUACAGAUGAGGAAACCCAGGUGAAGAGGUGGAAGUCAUUUGUUCAGGGUCAUGCAGCAGCAGACCUGGGAUCUGAACACAGAGCCCAUGCUCUUGGCCACUUGGCUCUUCUGCCCUCUCCCGGCCCAGCUCACAAACCAGCAUCCUCUUCUCCGCCAUCAGAGUCCACAUCCAAUCAAGUCUUGAUUCUAUGGCCAGAAUGUCUCACUCAGCCUCAUCUCCAAAAUCACAGCCCUGGUUCAGGCACAGGGGUGAGGGUGCCUCAAUGAUUUCCAAACCUGCCUCCUACCCCGUCUCUGGAGUGAUCUUUCUGGAGCAUAAAUCUGUUUCUCCUCUAGUCAAAAGCCUUCCAUGGCUCCCUACUACCUUCAAGAUAAAGUCUAAAUUUCCCUGGACUCAACCUAUUUUUGACCACCCUGGACCACGCACGGUUCCUGGACCAUCUUUCUCCCUUACUUGCCCUGGCAUGUUUCCACCACCUGUUUUUCCUCUCCUCCCUGCUGCAGGGUGAAUUUCAGUUUUUCCUUAGACGCCUAGCCCAAACAUCACCUCCUCCACGAAGCCUCCCCUGAUUCCCGACUCCAGGGCGGUUGUCUAUUCCACAGGGCAAUGACAGCUGACUCACCAUCACCAUGUCCCCCGCCCCCGCAACUGACAAGUGAC